GGGACAGGCAGUGGUGAGGAAGAUGGAGAGGGGGAUUGCACCUCCCGGCCCGCGCCGGAGGAAGCGACAGCUGGAACAGCUGGCUGGGGAGCGGCUUGCAUGCCUGCGGUGCUUCCCCUUCCCUUCCCCCACCGCCCGCCGCCCGGUGUCCUAGAACCCAGGCAUCGCUUGAGCACGCCCCUUCUCUACCCCUUCCUCCUGGUCUCCCAUCCCGGAAGCUGAGUGUCCUGUCCUGUUCUGGGUGCCGGCGAUGGAACCCGGGCCUCUUGCAUGCUGGCCACACGCUGGACCCUGAGCUGAGCUGCACCCCAGCCCUGGGCGGGUGUCUUGAGAACGCAGCACCCGGAGUCGGAAGGCGAGCAGCGAAGUUUGGCGGUAGCGAGCGGUCGAGCCGGGGGCCCGGGCGCGGAGCAUGCAGGCCGGGCGGGCGCGGGGAGCGCGGGGGUGAGCGGGAGAGCGAGCGGAG
rnacentral:lncRNA from 1 species